rfam:Pichia kudriavzevii strain SD108 scaffold00011, whole genome shotgun sequence.
GCCCGUGUAGCGUAAUGGUUAACGCGUUUGACUUCUAAUCAAAAGAUUCUGGGUUCGACUCCCAGCAUGGGUG